CUGGGAAGCCGAGCAACUGCUGGGGUACACGCUGGAGGACACCACCGCCAAGCUGAUGGGUCAGCUCCGCAGCAUCCGGCAGCUGCACCAGGUGCCUGAGGUGCUGCAAGGGCUGAGCCUCACCUGAUGCCCUUAAAGGUCCCCCCUCAGCAACUCCCGCUCCCUGCUGCAGAUCUUCAAACGGGUCGGCUUGCUGCAGGAGACACUGAUGGACAUCAUCAUCUACAGUGCCAACUGGAAGGAACAGCUCCAGCUG